rnacentral:lncRNA from 1 species
UCAAUGGUAUUCAAGCUUACUCGUCCCGUUAGUGUUAUUGUGGCUGGUGCCUUCUUGUCAGUUGCGUCUCACCUGCUUUUCUGCCAGCAGAGUCCGCUCAAAUGAGUAAUGAGUAAUGAGUAGUGAGUAGCGAUGUGUAAUGAGUAAAUGAGUAGCGAGUAGCGGAGUAAUGAGUAGUGGAUGAAUAUGUUUGUGGUAGUUAUUAUAGCAUUUUUGUGGUAAAAUGACUCUGAUUUGGUUAGAGAUUCUUAAUUAUCUUAUUUCUGAGAUUUGUUUUUGAAAGUUAUGGGCAAUUAUUGGUUAUUGAAACUUCCAUGAAGAUUUGCAAAUUAUUGGCUACUGAGUUUGCGGAGCUUAUCAAGUAACAUCAAUCAAUCAACUUUACACCAAUCCAAAAUUAGUAGGAGCUGGAAAUUUUCUAUAUCUCACACUUAUCCUCAUUAACAACAAUUAAGCCUUUCAUACCAAGUAGAUGGUAUCACUUAUAUUAUCUUUUGCUUCCAUUGUAUCUGUUCUUAGCUGAAACCAUUUUGAGAGAUUAUAGGUCGAGUGAAACAAUUUGCCCGGUCCCUUUUUUAGCACCUUCAAUUAUCAUAGUUUUGCACCUACCAACCAACUCAUAUGGAGAUUUGCAUGGGAUAUGGCCUAAAGUUCUAUCUUCCAUGUGCGCUACUUUCAUAUUCGGUUGAAUAUUAUAAUUUGUAAUCUUGUCCCAUCUUGUAAGACAUACGGCUUCACAUCCAUCUUAAUAUUUGCUUUUUUGCAACAUUCAUCGUAAUCUUGAC